AAGAGACAUGAUGAUGUAUACCCAUCAAUUCUGUAGCAGAAUGAUGAAUAUCUUACAUGCACUACCAUCUGAUCUCUU